UACGUAGGGGCCGAGCGUUGUCCGGAGUUAUUGGGCGUAAAGCGCGCGCAGGCGGCUUCGCGCGUCCGACGUGAAAGCCCCCGGCUUAACCGGGGAGGGUCGUUGGGUACGGCGGAGCUUGAGGGCGGGAGAGGGUGGUGGAAUUCCCGGUGUAGUGGUGAAAUGCGUAGAGAUCGGGAGGAACACCUGUGGCGAAGGCGGCCACC
rnacentral:rRNA from 1 species